GCCCGAGUGGCGGAACGGCAGACGCAGGGGACUCAAAAUCCUCCGAUGGCGACAUCGUGUGAGUUCAAAUCUCACCUCGGGCA
rnacentral:tRNA from 1 species